GUAAUAUUGAAUGGACUUGGGAUUAGUUACAUUUGACAAUAUAAAGCUACAAACAAAAAUAUUCACAGUUUUUUUGCGGUACAACUUGAAAAACACAAGAGCAAAUAAGAGCACUCUGUUUAUCAAUUCUUUGUUUCUUUUUCAAAAUCUAUAAAACCACAAUCAUCAUCCAUUGAAGAUUCACCGGAAAUACCUGGUUUCUCUGAUGGAACAAACAUCUCUUGUAUACGAAGUUUCUUCUUAUCGAGCCAUCCACCAACAGGCUUUUCAGAUAAUGAAGCCAAACCUUUGAACGCAAAGUCAUUUGCUAUUGUGGUAUCAACACCUAUGGUUCUAGAGUAAAGUCCUCUGCUUCCAGUAACCACCAUAUUGCGGGUCUCUUCACCACUACGAGAGAGCACAGGAGGCAGUAGAUCAAUCAGCUGUGGGCUGGGCUGGUUGGAGUUAUUUAUGAGCAACCGAAGUGUCUCCCUGGCACUUUUCUCAGCCACUGAUUCUGUUUCUGGGGGAAUUAAAGGAUUCACCAAAUUUGGGUGUAACUGUGGAAUACUGCCAGAGAUAGCAGGACCUGCGCUGACAAAGUAACCUUGACCAGAAGAGCACACGUCAAUAACAGGAAUAUGGACUAUAGAGUCGCCUACUAAAGGUGUGAAAGUAGGUAUUUGCUGUGAAGGACCCAAAGAAAAUGGCAACCUGAUCAAUGGCUCGGGCAGAAGAGGUGGGAAAUCUAAAGCGGAGACAUCAGUGACAAGAGACGGGUUUGGUGUCAAAAUACUAGAUGAACAAGCAGAAGGUGCUAUUGAUGAAAGUAGUGGUAUUGAAGAGUCUGUGGAUAAAACAGGCAAAUGUGGAGUUCCAACUGAGUACUGCAGAGUGGAUACAGCAGGAGGACACCAACAGUAAUAAGGAGAGAAAACUGUUGAAUCCAGAGAAUGAACAGUAGCUGCAGAGCCUCGAAAAGGAAGGGCAGCAACAAACGGCUCCAAAACAUUUGAAGGACGAGUUUCUCUUCCAAUUUUAUCGUCUUCAACAUUUGUUGAUCUAAGUGCAUCUGUGCUACUUACGCCUGCAUUCUGGCUAUCUACACAUGAAAUAUAGCUAUCACCAUGCUGCCUCAGCCCGUCUCCAGAAACACAUACAGAUGAUGAGUUCCUGAGCAUGCUAUCUUUAAAAGCAUUAGACAUAGGACUAAGGCUGCUCAUCAGGCUGGUGUUUGAUCCCAUGCUACUGACGUGCUCAGGCCGCAGAGGUUUCUGAGAUGCAACUGAUAUCUGGGCAUCAAGACCAAGUUCUGAAGAAUCAACAAAGCCAGCAACAGGAGGAUCUCUUGACAUCAUGGAACUUGCUUGAGGAUUUAUAGCUGCUGAACCGUGAAGAUAAGCUCGAAGAUGAAUGGCGAAACAGUCAAUCCGCGAUUCAUUGAUUCCAGUUAACUCAGCCAAGGAAGGCUUCAUCUUAAUCAAAUCCCUCAUCUUUCUCCGCAACUCAUCUCCAAGGAGCUUAGACUUCUCUGAACACCAAAAGUAGAACGUCUCACCAUCAGGAAUACUAAUAAGGAACGAGCGUCCAGAAUCAUCUGCCACAAUAUCUUUUAUCUCUACGGCAGAACAAUCAGAUUCACUGCAAAAUGUUCCAACUCUCUCUGUGCUGCCGUCAUCCCCAAUGAAUGAGAUGCGCAAGUCUGAUGUUGGCAAUAUUGCAAGGUUUAAGUUCCCCCUUGUAGUUGUUGGACACAACAGCGUCCCUUGCUUCCUGAUCUUUCCAACCCGCAUUGUAACAAGUGGAAUGCACAAACACCUCGCGAGCAUUCCAACCUCUGAUGGCUCAAAGUUUUGACUAAGAUGAGCGAGCAAUCGAUCUUCAGCAGCACCAGCAGAAACAUUAAGCUUCAACAAAGGCUUUAACCUCUCAUCCACUCUACAAGCUCCCAUAACCUGCAAAUCCAGUGCCAGAAGCCACUGAAGAACGUUCGUUUCUCCUGAUGCAAACAUACCACUCGAUAAAACGUCGUCGUACAAAGCAUCCUCCGACGAUGAAUCAUCCAAUUCCUCCUGGAGAUUUGAAUUCUCAACCUCAUCAUCGAUUUCGAGAUUGUUCAUAGAUUGUUGUUUCACCAUUUUUUUUUUAGAAAAAUUCAAUGAAUUAAGGUUUAAAUUUGUUCGUAAAUCAGCAAAUCGAUUGAAAUCUAUGAAUGAAAAUAUA
rnacentral:misc_RNA from 1 species